UACGUAGGGUGCAAGCGUCAAUCGGAAUUACUGGGCGUAAAGCGUGCGCAGGCGGUUUGCUAAGACCGAUGUGAAAUCCCCGGGCUUAACCUGGGAACUGCAUUGGUGACUGGCAAGCUAGAGUGUGGCAGAGGGGGGUAGAAUUCCACGUGUAGCAGUGAAAUGCGUAGAGAUGUGGAGGAAUACCGAUGGCGAAGGCAGCCCCCUGGGCCAAUACUGACGCUCAUGCACGAAAGCGUGGGGAGCAAACAGG
rnacentral:rRNA from 1 species